rnacentral:rRNA from 1 species
AGUGAACGCUGGCGGUAGGCCUAACACAUGCAAGUCGAACGGCAGCACAGUAAGAGCUUGCUCUUACGGGUGGCGAGUGGCGGACGGGUGAGGAAUACAUCGGAAUCUACUUUUUCGUGGGGGAUAGCGUAGGGAAACUUACGCUAAUACUGCAUACGACCUACGGGUGAAAGCAGGGGAUCUUCGGACCUUGCGCGAUUGAAUGAGCCGAUGUCGGAUUAGCUAGUUGGCGGGGUAAAGGCCCACCAAGGCGACGAUCCGUAGCUGGUCUGAGAGGAUGAUCAGCCACACUGGAACUGAGACACGGUCCAGACUCCUACGGGAGGCAGCAGUGGGGAAUAUUGGACAAUGGGCGCAAGCCUGAUCCAGCCAUACCGCGUGGGUGAAGAAGGCCUUCGGGUUGUAAAGCCCUUUUGUUGGGAAAGAAAAGCAGCGGGUUAAUACCCCGCUGUUCUGACGGUACCCAAAGAAUAAGCACCGGCUAACUUCGUG